rnacentral:lncRNA from 1 species
UCUUGGACAGGCUGCAGUUUUAAGCAGUGAGCGUGGCUUUUCUUUAGGAGCCAAUGAUUCACCAAGCUUAACCUCCUGCACUAAAUCUGUAUGAAAAUCUGCAGAAAGAAAUACAAAAUGCAGCAGAAAUUGAUGUAAGAAUAACUUUUAGUUUGAUUCUUUCUUGUUUCUUAUUUUGUAUGAGUGAUUGCAGCUUGCUUUUAAGCUGGGAAGAGCCUUAUGAAAGUAGGGGAUUUGUAUUCUGUUAUAUGUUUUUAUCUGGGUAGGUUAGAGCAUUCCUGAAAUAUUCCUUUUAUUUUAUUUUAUUUUUUACUGAUAAAAAAAAUAACUAGUUAUUUUUUAUACUAAAUGAAAUCACAAAUAUUACCUAAUAGAACGAGGAACCAAUUUCACUGGGAAAAGAUUGCUCACAUUAAAUACAUAUGGGUUGAUAGAAAAGUAGUAAACUAGUAGACGAAGCACAAAUUGGAAAUUCCUAAGGCACAAAUUCUCAUAUGCCUACGUUUUCAUCAGGGGUCAACUCUCCACAAUUUCUUCAUUUCAAAUACAAUCUUUAUUUAAUGCAGAUAUUUUAAUCUCUAGCUCACCACUUUCUUCAAUGAUAACUGUGACAAUAUUUAAUAAAUUUACAUGAGAAAAUUGAAUUAUUUUUUGUCUUAAUUGUCGUUUGAAAUAACAAUAAUCCCUACUUUCAGAAUUAUUGAAUCCAAAUAUUUGUUCUUGAGUCAUGAGAUAAAUGGAGUCAUUUAAUUCAAAUUUUAGAUAGUUAAGAAUGGAGGAAGGAAAUUAUUGGAAGAUUCAUGAAGAAAUUAGGAAAAAAUAGAUAAAUUGCACACUGCCUUUCGUUCUCUAAAGGGUAUUUGUUUUCUUCCACUUUUUGGUUCACUUCUAAUGAUAUUAUGUCAUUUUUUGUCAAGAAGGAAUCUACGUUUGUGCAUGUUGAUGAUAAUGUCUAAUUUAAGUAAUAUUUCAUAUUAAAAUAUAGACACUUAUGAGGAUUUAUUGUUAAUUUACAUAAAAAAAAAUAAUCUCUAAUUUAUGAAUUUAUACCUUUUUACAUUUUUUAUGAUCUUUAUUUGAAUAAGAGUAUUUUAUUCCGAAAUUUGAUGUUAAUUGCAGAUUUAUAAGGAAGAUUGAAGAUUUGGAUUAAAGAUGAAUGAUUUGAGCUAAAAAGAUAAAGAUAGAAGGUCCCAUAAUGGAAAAAGAUGCAAAUGAAGAUUGAGACUUUUUUAUGUUUUAUCAGCCCGUUAGCCUAACCCUAGAAAACUACGAUAAAUAGAGGGCUAGAGGCUCAACCUUAAGGUGCCAGAUUGAGAGGAAAACACCAUAGAGUGAAUUGUAACCAGUUGGGAGAAUGGAAGGUGCUAGAAGUAUGCGUGGCUAAUUCUACCUUUGGGAUUGGGAGUAAUCUGCUCAAACUCUUAUGUAUUGAGGAGUGAUAUCUUAUAUAUUAAUAUUCAGUUCUUGAUUGAUUAUUGGUAUUGUUGUUUUACUUUUAAUUUUCCGUGACAAAUUGAGAAUCUUAAAUCUGACCGGGAGGUAUUUUUAGGGUUCUGACCUAAACAACAAUACUUAACAUAUUUGAGUGUUAGGAAUAGUGUUAAUUGCUAUUAAACGUCUGAGCUUCGUUCUAAGUUGUGUUCUUAUAAUUAUGCGAGAGAUCGAUAGUUAGGGACAUUCUUAAGGAUUUUAUAUGCGAGAAAUCGAUAUAAAUGAUUUUUAUACAGGCAUCAAUUUCAAUCAAAUAUUGACAUGCUAAUCAAAAUACUUGAGAGUGAGAGAGAUGAAACUAAUCCUUAUUUUUUCAAUUGAAACAACUAAUUCUUUGUGUGUUUUCUUAUUGAUCAGUGCCAACACAAUUAAUCCAAAACUCUUUUAAAUGUUAUGUUUUUAUAUUUAGCGAUUAUUGUACUCGAUAAUUCACUGUUCCUUGUGGGAUUGAUAUCCGUUCUUAGGAAUAUACUAACUAUUUUUUUUUUAUGUGAAUAAAUUUUUUAGUUUUUGAUUUUUUUUAGAAUUGUAUAUUUUUGUAAAGAUUUUGUUUUUAUUUUUAGAUGUGAAUAAUUUUGUUUUUUUUUUUAGAUUUGUAUAUUUUUUAUUUUUAUUUUUUUUAAAGAUUUUGUUUUUUUUUUCUAGUUUUGAAUAUGUAAAAAGUUUUUUUUUAGAUGUGAAUAUGUUUGUUUUUUUUUUUUGUAAAACUGUUAUUUUUAUGUUAAUAAUUUUUCUUUUAACUUUUUUUUAUUUUUAUUUGUUUACUUUAUUUAUUUUAUUUUGAUUCUGUUUUGUUAUAUUUUAUUUUAUUCUUUACUUCUUUAUUUUUAUAUUGUUUACGUAGUUUUUUUUACUGUAAUUAUUUUAUUUUAUUUUUAUUUUUAUUUUUAUUUUUAUUUUUAUUUUAUUUUGAUUUGGAUUUUGUUUUAUCAUAUUUUAUUUUUACGUUUAGCUUAAAUUGUUUAUUUAGAGUUUACGUUUCUGUUUAAGUAGUUUCUGUUUUACUAUUAGUUUCUGUUUUAUUUUUGUUUCAUUUUUAUAUUAUUUAGUUAUUUUUCUUAAUAGUUAUUUAUUUAGUUUUUUAUUUUUUAGUUUUUAUUUUACGCAAGUUUUUUUUCUAUCUAUAUAUUCUGUUUUAGUUUUCUUAGUUAGUUAGUUAUUUAAUUUUUUUUAUUUUGCAUAUUUUUAGUUUUUAUAUAUUAUUCUUGUUUUUAUUGAUUUUAUUUUUCUCUUUGUUAAAAAUUAUAGUUUUAUUAUUUUAUUUAGUUUUUAUUUAAGUUUUUGUUUCUUUUAUUUUAUUUUUUUGUUCUGUUUUUCAUUUACUAUUUAUUUCUCUUUCUUUUGUUAUUUUAAAUUUUCUGUUUUUCUUUAUUUCAUUUUUUUAAAAAAAAAAAAAAACUAUUUACUUGUUAUACUAAUCUUUGCUUGAGUUGUCUUAUGAUAUGAAGAAAACAAGUUUUUAUAGAUUGAGCAAUUGAGAAGACAACUCGGAAGAAUAGAAGUUAAAAGUAAAGAAAAGAGAAGCAAGGAGAGAAGUUAGAAAAGACUGAGAGAUGAUGAUGACGGUACCAAUCACUCCUAUCAGAUAAGUCCAACUGGUAAACCAUGGAGAAUUUCAAGGGAAACCCUACCUAUGUUAUGUAUUUUGACCUGAGGAUAGGUUCUAAUAUUCAGGGGGCAGAUCCAGCAAAUGAAGCAAGACUGUAGAUAAAGAUUUUAACAAAAAGCUGGAUGACUUCUUAAGAAGAGAGGAUUGAGCAAAAAUAUGGUUUUAUCUUUCUAAUUCUCUUUUCUUUUCAAAUUAUUUGAAUUUUAUCUUAUUUUAUUUAUUUUAUUUUUUGGUUAUUUUGUUUUCUGUUUAUUUGCUUAUUUGUUUAGUUUGUUUUUAUUGCUUAUUUUGAAUAAAUGUCCUGUUUUGUUAGUUUGGUAGUUUUAAGUCUUGAAUGAUCUUUCUUGAAUAAAUUUCAGUUUUAAUUUGUUUAUUUUCUAGUUUAUUUUUUCAAAUAAAAAAGAACUAGAAUAUUAAUUUUGAAUUGUGGAAAAAAGAAUUUGUGUUUAAAUAUUAAAUAGUGAGAUGAAUUAGACACAGGGUAGAAAAGAAAAUAUGACUGAAUCCCUAUUCAAAUGUAGUUAAAAUUAUGAUACAUGAAAAUAAUGACAAGAUAAUUGAUUAGGACAAAUAAUGACAAGACAAGAAGGAAUGAGACCAUUUAAACCAAGUGAGUGUGUGAACCUGAAACAGUUUUUGAGAGUUUUACUGAUGAAUUGACAGUUGUGGUUGCUUAAUUUUUAUUUUAUUUUUGUUGCAUCAUAAAAGAGCAGGAAGAUGAUUGAGAUAUUUGUUUGUGUUAAUUAGGAGCCAGGGCCAAAAAGCCAACCCUUUAUAUUAGUAUUCCAUUUUUUUUAUAUCCCCUUGGGCCAAGAAAUUUUUUUGUUGUUAAUAUUGCACCUUAACAUUUAUUGAUAUAAUUUCCUACCCUUUAGCAUGUCUAAGGAAGGAGAACAUAGAUGCAAUACAUAUAGAAAAGGGAAUGGUUGGUUCUGAUUGUGAAAGUUCAAAAAGUUUAAAAUAGGAAGAAUUUUUUCCUAUUAUUGAAAAAAAAAGAAAAAAAAAACAAGAAACAGAAACAGAAGAAGAAAAAGAAGUAGAAAAGAAAGAUAGUAAAAUUUCAUGAAAAGAAAGAAAAUGAGGAAAAAGGUGAUAUCGAAAGAAAGUGGUAAUUAGAUAACAUAUAUGUUCUCUAUAAUUGAAUUGUAGGUAUGUUCUUCUCCUUUAAUAUGUGCCUUUUGUUAUCUAAGAAAAACUAAUAUUUUUUGGAAGCCCAGCCUCAUUACAACCCUGGAAAAGACCUCAAGAUUCAUGUUUCUAAUAUGUUUGUGAUUAGGGUGUUAUGGUUGUGUGCUGGUGCUGACAAGUUGUGAGGUGACACGGAGUGUCCAAUGAGGAGAAUAAAUGAAAUCAAAUAAAAAAAUAUUGAUUACCUAGGUAGAGUAAUAGAGGUUGUUACAUCAUUAAUGGAAAGAUUCUUGGAACUCUUUGAUGUAGAGAAUUCCUCUAGGAUCAUUCUUCCAACUAAAAAUGGUGGGUUCUUGGGUUUUGGAAGGGCCAUUGAUUGCAUCACUUGCCAACAUUACAACAUCAGACAUGGCUGAUCUAUCUUUUGCAUCUUCUUGAACUCACAACAAACCAAUCUGUAUGCAUCUCUCAAGUUCACUGCCUACAAAGGAUUUUUCCAGCGUUGGAUCCAUCAUUUCCAAACAUUUUCCUUCACACCAUAUUCUCCAAAAUCCAAAAUCUGAUAUUUUUGGAUUCAUGUCAUGUCUAAUAAAACAUUGCUAUCUUUGAGAUCUCUGUGAAUUACUUUAAGUCGAGAGUCCUCGUGAAGGUAUAAAACACCUCUUUCAAUUCCAUUGAUAAAGUUUAAUCUUAAUUUCGAAUCAAAAAGCUUUUUCCUCUCAUCAUCUGAGAACACAAGAACAGAGAAGAAAUUAAGCAACAAUACAGUAUUUGAAGCAAAAUCUAUCAAAUACCAAAUGAGAUUUGGCCUUAUCCUGGGAAAAGAAUUAUUUUAUAUUUUAUCCUUAAAGAUAAUCUAUAACAUGAUCAUUCAUUACAUGAUAUAACUUGAAUUUAGUUUCAUGUUAUGAAAGGAGAAGAAAAUGCUAUUUUGGGUAUUAUUACCCUGUUUUGUUGUUCUUGUUCUUAAAAUCAAGAGUACUAUAAAGUACUUUAAAGUCCAUAAUAGAAUGAAUUGACUUGUUAAUCAAUAGAUAUUUUUAAAAAUUACAGUGAAAAUAUGCAUAGGAGUGUUGUGUUCUUGUAGAGUUCAAGAUUAACACUCUUACCUGUUUUUGUAAAUUCUCAGUAAGUACAAACCUCAUCUUAAACAUCAAUUUUAUAUACUCUGAUAAAAUAUUUAAACUUAAAGUUCCCUUUCUAAUAAUAUAUACUCUGAUACAAACAGAGUAUAUAUAAGAUCUGUCCAGUGAAGAGCUAAAAGCUAUUUUUCUUCGUCAUAUCCCUGAACAAAAUAUUUAAUUUCUAUAAUUAAGAAAUUUAAGAAAAUAGAUAUCAAUCCACAAGAAGAAACUCGAAAGUAUUAGAAUUUAUAUGUACAACUACUAUACUAAGAAUUAAUUUCUAAUCCAAUAACACAAUCCUCCUUAAAUAAAUUCCGUCAUCAUUUUAAUAUAACUUUAACUGUAUCAAUAAGGAAUUUUGAUUUUAGUAUAUCUAAGAUAUUUAUUGAUUUAUUAUUUUUAUACUAUGCUUAACUUUUCUAAAUAAAUUUGAGCUAGCUAGAGUAAUAGAAUCAUGACUGAUUCAACUCUGUCAAUGUCUAAAUAAAAGAAAAAUUGGAUCACCAGACAGGGAAACAAAAAAAUAGGAAAACGAAGGAAGAUAAAAUUGAAAACUGAGAAAAAUAAAUAGGGAUUGAUACUUGAGAAAGGAAGGAAAGAAAUGAUCUGAGUUGGGUUGCUUUUUAGUAAUGUUUGAGUUGUUUAAUUAGUUUUUUGAUAGGUAAGUUAGGUAUGGAAUGUCUAUAAAUUUAAGAGUUGAGACAUAAUUAAGGUUCCUUGGAUUUAAUAUAAGGAGUUGAGAUAUUUUCAGAACAUUAUCCAAACUCAACUACUUUAUGCACGUGAUCGUAUUUGUGUGGUUCAGAACACUCAAAAACAAGGAUUGAAGUAAAGCCAUCGUGAAGAAUUCUCACCUUCACUCCAACUUUCACAAUCCUUUCUUCUCUUUCAUUUUCCCACUUCCUUUCCAACCAUGUCAGACCUUGAAACUAUUGGAGGUGCUGUUCUCCAGGCACUAUUUGACAAGCUCGAUUCUUAUCAACUUCUCGACUACUUUCGUGGCGGAGAGCUCGAUGAGAGGCAACUGAAACAGUUGAAAAUGAAGCUGAUGGACAUCGAUGUUGUGAUUGAUGAUGCAGAACAAAAGCAGUUCACUAAUUCAUUGGUCAAACAAUGGCUUGAUGAGGUCAGAGAUGCAUUGUUGAUGCGGAGGAUCUGUUGGAGCAAAUAGACUAUGAAUUCUCCAAAACUCAGUUGAAACCUGAAUUUCAGAGCAGUUCUAGCAAGGUAAACAAUUUUCAAUCCGAGAUGUUAGAACUCCUAGAUGAACUAGAAUCUCUCUUAAACCAAAAGAUUGUUCAAGAUUUCAAAAUUUCCAGUGGUUUUGGAUCUGGGUUGGCUAAUAACGUGUCAGGGCAAAUAAAUGAAUCCUCAUUGUUGGUGGCACAAGAGGUUAUUUAUGGCAGAGAUGAGGACAAACAAAUCAUACUUAAGUGGGUUACUUCUGAGAGUAACAAUCAUAACCAGUUGUCAAUACUUUCUAUUGUAGGUAUGGGUGGGAUGGGUAAGACCACAAUACUUUCUAUUGUAGGUAUGGGUGGGAUGGGUAAGACCACACUUGCUCAACAUGUAUACAAUGACCCUAAGAAUAAGGAAGCUAAAUUUGACCUUAAAGCUUGGUUCUGUGUUUCAGAUGAAUUUCACGUUCUGAGGGUAUCAAAAGCAAUUAUUAGGGCUUUCACUAAAUCAAAAGAUGAUAGUGAAGACCUAGAAAUGGUUCAUGGAAAACUGAAAGAAAAAUUGACUGGAAUGAAGUUUCUUCUGCUUCUGGAUGAUGUCUGGAACGAAGACCGAUAUCAAUGGAAAUCAUUGCAAACUUCUCUUAAAUAUGGUGCUAAGGGAAGUAAAAUUCUUGUCACAACACGCAUUAACAAAGUUACAUCUACCGUGGAGUCAAACAAAAUUCACCCACUAAAGCAAUUACAAAAAGAUCACAGUUGGCAAGUUUUUGCUAAACAUGCAUUUCACGAUGAUAACUCUAAGUCGAAUUCUGUGUUGGAGGACAUUGACUUCAAUAUAGUUGAAAAGUGCCAAGGACUGCCUCUGGCCCUUGAAACGGUAGGAGGUAUCUUACAGUCAAAGUCAUCUGUUUCAGAGUGGGAAGGUGUACUGAAAAGCAACAUAUGGGACUUACCAAUAGAAGAUAGUAAAAUCAUCCCCGCUUUGUUAUUGAGCUAUUACCAUCUUCCUUCUCACCUCAAGAGAUGUUUUACUUAUUGUGCGUUAUUCCCCUUGUCCAGAUCACUAACUGGUUCUAAUCUUAAAACCGAAGUUCUAAUUUAUUAAUAAUCACAAAACAAAAUACAUAAAAAAAAAUUUAAAUACUAGAAAAACUAAACACCUAGAAGUUAGAAAAAUAAGAAACUAUAAAAAUAAUAAAAUUCAAAAUAAAAUAAAAAUAAGACAAAGCAAAAUCAAAAUAAAAAAAAAUCAGAAUGACCUUUUUCAUCCAAAAUAAAGACCAAAAGAAUGUCUUGACCUUCUCGUGGAACUUAGGUAGAAAUCUGGAAAGAGUUGCAGCUUCCUGUUCAGACAUUGGAGUUCCUUGAGGUUACUCGAACUCCUCAUACUUAAGAUGACCUCACACUUUUCUAGAUUGGUCUCAAUACCUAGCCUAAGAACUUUACGCCACCAAUAUUCCUGAAGAAGCAUUUUUUAGGGUUGAGACACAUAUUGUGUGCUCAAACUUGGUUAGACACUUUCUCCAAGUGGAUUGGAUGGUCUUUGACUGUCACUGAUUUAAUUACCAUGUCAGCAACAUAAACCUCACGAUAUUAUUGAUGAGGUCUUUGAACACUUUUUCCAUUAGUAGCUGGCACAAGCAUUUUUAUGGUCAAAAGACAUGACCUUGUAACAAAAGUUGAACCCUUUUGUCAUGAAUGCAAUCUUUUCUUCAUUAUACAGAUACAUUCUGAUCUAAUUGUACCUAAAAUUGGAACCAAGAAAGUUGAACAACUCGAAACCUUAAACAUUAUCCAUGAGCCAAUCUAUACUUGGAAGGGGAUAUGUGUCUUUUGGACAUGUCUUGUUUAAGUCAGCGUAAUCAAUGCACAUUCUCUACUUGCCAUUUUCUCUAAAUCAACUGCUAGUCUUCUCUCCUUUGUGAGCUUGUGUUUCCUUUGGGCCAUGGGCUUUGCCUGGGGUUGAAUGACAAGCUUAUGACACAUAAAGUUAGAGACUAUGUCAGGCAUGCAUGCUAGAAUCCAAGCAAACAGGUCGACAUUACAGAUGAGGACUCUUUCAAUAUCAUUCCUUAAAGCACAGUUGAUCAUCUUUCAGAUCCUAGUGAGUUGAGUGGGUAGAUGGUCGAAUUUACCGUGAUGAUGGUCAUCAAAGGUAGGUCGAUUGUCUCUAAAUUCUACCCUAAGGUCGAAGUCCAUUUCAUCUUCUACUGGAGAUGUCAGGCUAAUCUCCUUGACAAUAAGACAUAUUUGGAUGGUGCCACAUUCUCCUGGUAAUGUAUUCCACAACGAAAAAUUAUUUCCAUUGAACAUCUAUAUCUCAUUUUUUUUCCAUGGAUCUAAAAUCGAUUUAUGCACUUCUUGUUGAUUUUGGCUUAAUCCCAAUUCCCACAUCAGUGGGUUUGUUUGGGAAGGAGGUUUGAGGGUUAUAAAUUAAACUCUCCUCCUUCACUGUUAAAUAUUCCAAUUUGUAAUAUCUUCUCCCAUAAUAAUAAAAGCGAGUUGUUUUUGCUGUGCUCGGAGAUUAGGCUAAACAGACCGAACUCCGUUAACAAUUUUCGGGUGUGUUUUUUCUUCUUUAUCUCUUUUAUUAUUCCGCUUUAUUUAUUCAAUAUUAUUUGUCGGGUAGCUCUGUUAGGGUUUUGUUUUAGUGGGAAAAGUACCUGUUUUUCCGAACAAGUAGUAUCAAGAGCCGAAGGUUCGCCUUGGGUUGUUUGAAAUUGUUUGUAAUAUUGAAUACAAUAUUUUGAGUUUGUGAUGGCAAGAGGUCGUCAGCAAAGUCAGACAAAGGGGAGAAGAGGGAGGUCUAAGUCUAAAGGUCGAGUCGUUGCCAAAGAUGAGUGUGCUUUCUGUCAUGAGAAAGGACACAGGAAGAAAGAUUGUCCAAAACUGUAGAAGAAAGGGAAGGCUCCACAAGAUGCAAAUGUUGCAGAAUGCAAAAGUGAUGUGGAAUCAGAUAUUUCUUUAAUUGUCUCGCUUUCAGCAUCAUCGUAUCCAGAUGAGUGGAUAUUGGAUUCAGGUUGUACCUAUCAUAUGUGUCCCAUUCGGGAUUGGUUCUUNNNNNNNNNNNNNNNNNNNNNNNNNNNNNNNNNNNNNNNNNNNNNNNNNNNNNNNNNNNNNNNNNNNNNNNNNNNNNNNNNNNNNNNNNNNNNNNNNNNNGAUGGAUCCACCAGAAUUUUGCGGGAUGUACGGUACGUGCCAAAGUUAAAGAAGAAUCUAAUCUCAUUGGGGGCUUUAGAAUCUAAAGGCCUAGUUGUGACGAUGCGAGAUGGAAUUCUUAAAGCAACUUCAGGAGCACUGGUGAUGUUGAAAGGCGUGAGGAAGAACAAUUUGUAUUACUAUCAAGGUAGUACAGUGGUGGGGACAGUAGCGACAACAACUUCUAGCUCUAAGAAGGAUGUUGAGGCAACGAAGUUGUGGCAUAUGAGGUUGGGACAUGCUGGAGAGAAAUCCUUGCAAAUUCUUACCAAGCAGGGAUUGUUGAAAGGUACGAAGGCUUGCAAACUUGAAUUUUGUGAGCAUUGUGUUCUGGGAAAACAACGAAGAGUGAAGUUUGGCACUGCAAUUCACAAUACCAAGGGUAUUCUGGAUUAUGUGCAUUCAGAUGUGUGGGGACCUGCCAAGACUCCGUCAAUCGGAGGUAGGCAUUAUUUUGUCACUUUUGUUGAUGAUUUUUCCAGGAGAGUUUGGGUGUUUACUAUGAAGAACAAAAAUGAUGUGCUUGAAAUUUUCCUUAAGUGGAAAGCUCAAGUUGAAAACCAGACAGGAAGGAAGAUUAAGGUUCUCUGAACAGACAAUGGAGGAGAAUACAAGAGUGAUCCGUUCCUGAAGGUAUGCCAAGAUUGUGGCAUAGUUCGGCACUUCACUGUUAGAAAAACACCACAACAGAAUGGGGUUUCGGAGCGUAUGAACAAGACACUUGUGGAGAAAGUUCGUUGUAUGUUGUCUAAUGCUGAGUUAGGCAGAGAGUUUUGGGCUGAGGCUGUGACAUACGCUCAACAUCUCGUCAAUCGUUUGCCAUCAUCUACUAUAGAUGGAAAAACCCCGUUAGAGGUAUGGUCUGGAAAACUUGCAACUGAUUAUGAUUCUUUGCAUGUUUUUGGUUCUAUUGCAUAUUAUCAUGUGAUUGAAUCAAAGUUGGAUCCACGGGCAAAGAAGGCUCUUUUCAUGGGCUUUAGUCCUGGAGUGAAGGGAUACCGUUAGUGGUGUCUAGAGGCAAAGAAGACGAUUAUCAGCAGGGAUGUUACCUUUGAUGAAUCUUCCAUGUUAAAGAAGGUAAAUCUAGAAGGAGCUGAUAUUACUCCACAGCAGGUGGAGUGUGCCCAGAAGCAGGUGGAGUUUGAGCAGACAGUGGUGAUCCCAACACGAAAUACCACAAGUGACUCUCCUAUGACAGAAGAAGAGUCAGAUGAGGAAGAGGUUCCUGCCCAAGAAUCUCAACAGCAAUCAGCGUCAAUUGCAGUUAGAAGACAGAGACGAAACAUUCAUAAGCCUGCUCGUUUCAUUGAUAUGGUUGCCUAUGCACUUCCAGUUGUUGAUGACAUUCCAUCCACUUACCCAGAAGCCAUUCUGAGUUCAGAGAGUGGUAAUUGGGCAGGUGCGAUGGAAGAGGAGAUGCAGUCUUUGAAGAAGAACAAGACGUGGAAGUUGGCACAAUUACCAAAAGGUAAGAAGGCAAUUGGGUGCAAAUGGGUAUUUGCAAAGAAAGAAUGAUUUCCUAAUAAAGAAGAUGUUCGCUACAAGGCAAGGUUGGUUGCUAAAGGCUUUGCUCAGAGAGAGGGAAUUGAUUAUAAUGAGGUAUUUUCUCCAGUUGUUAAACAUUCCUCCAUUCGAAUUUUGUUGGUCUUGGUAGCACAGUUGAAUUUGGAGCUUGCUCAACUUGAUGUAAAGACCGCAUUCCUACACGGUGAUUUGGAGGAGGAAAUCUAUAUGACUCAACCAGAAGGAUACAAGGUUGAUGGUAAAGAAGAUUGGGUUUGUAAACUUAGCAAAUCGUUGUACGGACUGAAACAAUCUCCGAGACAGUGGUACAAACGAUUUGAUAAGUUCAUGAAGGAUCAGAAGUACAAGAGAAGCAAAUAUGAUCACUGUGUGUAUUUGCGCAGACUUGAAGAUGGUUCCUACAUUUACUUACUCUUAUAUGUUGAUGAUAUGCUGAUUGCAGCAAAGAGCCAAGUUGAGAUUGACAGGUUAAAGGCUCAGUUGAAUAAAGAGUUCGAGAUGAAGGAUUUGGGGGAAGCCAAGAAGAUUCUCGGCAUGGAGAUAAACAGGGACAGGGAGAGGGGAAAACUUUGGCUGUCACAGAAGCAGUAUUUGCAGAAGGUACUACAACGUUUUGGUAUACACAAAGAUACAAAACCUAUAAGUACCCCACUUGCUCCUCAUUUGAAAUUGAGUAGCCGUUUAUCUCCGACGACUGAUGAAGAACGAGAAUACAUGGCGAAAGUCCCAUAUGCAAAUGCGGUUGGAAGCNNNNNNNNNNNNNNNNNNNNNNNNNNNNNNNNNNNNNNNNNNNNNNNNNNNNNNNNNNNNNNNNNNNNNNNNNNNNNNNNNNNNNNNNNNNNNNNNNNNNNNNNNNNNNNNNNNNNNNNNNNNNNNNNNNNNNNNNNNNNNNNNNNNNNNNNNNNNNNNNNNNNNNNNNNNNNNNNNNNNNNNNNNNNNNNNNNNNNNNNNNNNNNNNNNNNNNNNNNNNNNNNNNNNNNNNNNNNNNNNNNNNNNNNNNNNNNNNNNNNNNNNNNNNNNNNNNNNNNNNNNNNNNNNNNNNNNNNNNNNNNNNNNNNNNNNNNNNNNNNNNNNNNNNNNNNNNNNNNNNNNNNNNNNNNNNNNNNNNNNNNNNNNNNNNNNNNNNNNNNNNNNNNNNNNNNNNNNNNNNNNNNNNNNNNNNNNNNNNNNNNNNNNNNNNNNNNNNNNNNNNNNNNNNNNNNNNNNNNNNNNNNNNNNNNNNNNNNNNNNNNNNNNNNNNNNCGUUAUCACUUUGUGCGUGAGAUUCUCGAAGAAGAGGAGAUUGUUCUCCAGAAGAUUCACACUACGGAGAAUCCUGCAGAUAUGCUCACCAAGGUGGUUACAAGGACCAAGUUUGAACACUGUUUAGACUUGGUUAAUAUCUUGCACAUUUGAAGUUGGCGCCCGAAGGCGCAAAUUUGAAGCACUACAAAGUUUGUUUUUGUUAUGUUUUGAGAAGAUUUGUUUUAGGUGGGACUUGAAAUUAAGCCAAGGUGGAGAUUUGUUGAUUUUGGCUUAAUACCAAGUCCCACAUCGGUGGGUUCAUUGUUUGGGAAGGAGGUUUGAGGGUUAUAAAUUAAGCUUUCCUCCUUCACUGUUAAAUAUCCCAAUUUGUAAUAUCUUCUCCCAUAAUAAUAAAAGCGAGUUGUUUUUGCUGUGCUCGGAGAUUAGGCUAAACAGGCCGAACUCGGUUAACAAUUUUCGGGUGUGUUUUUUCUUCUUUAUCUCUUUUAUUAUUCCGCUUUAUUUAUUCAAUAUUAUUUGUCGGGUAGCUCUGUUAGGGUUUUGUUUUAGUGGGAAAAUUACCCGUUUUUCCCAACACUUCUCACUAUGAAUAGUAUUAUUUACUGGUAUAAUGGCUAUAGAUUGUGAAAUAGUACAUCAGGUAAGUUUCUAGGAAAGAGAUGUGAGUCAUAAAUGGACACGCUUAAGUACCAAGUUUUUCAUUGUCAUAAUAUUCCUAGACAUGCCUUUUUACACUACCACACUUUAUAUUUAAUAACAAGAAUAAUUCAUUUCUGAUGUGACAGAUCAUACUAUAGUUAAUAUAAAAGAAGAAGUUGAGAGGUUCAUGAUGACGAUGAAGCCACAAUCCAGCUUCUAGUGAGUACCAUAAGACUUGUGGUCUCAGAACAAUUUUAACUAGGCCCAUAGUGGGUGUCAAAUGUUCUUACCAAGGUUGAGCUGAAAUCAUCUAAGAUGGAUGCACAACCUAUAAGGGCGAAUUGACCUCUUCGAGGAAGGGUUGUCAAACUUUGAUGAUAAAAAGCGAGUGGUGAUCCACUUGUAAAGGAUUCUCCAAAUAUUAAGGUGAUUAAUCUAUUAUUAAAUUGGACUAAUUUCACUAGCACAAAAUGUAUAAACAAUGACUAUUUAUUUAAUGCAGUUUUAGGGUUAGCCGUUGUCAUUCAAAAUGCGGUGGUAUUUUUGAAAUUAAUUUCAUUUACGAAUGCGGCUAUUUGUAAUAGCUGCAUCCUUAAAUCAAAACGCAUGAUUUACGAAUGCAACUAUUUAAAUAGCCGCAUUCUUAAAUCAAAGCGCAUGAUUUACGAAUGUGGCUCUUUAAAUAGCCGCAUUCGUAAAUCAAAGCGCAUGAUUUAAGAAUGCGGCUAUUACCAAUAGCCGCAUUCUUAAAUAAUUUUUUUACCCUAAUUUUGAAGCGCGUCACUUACGCUUUCAUACUUUUUUUUUUUGGCGCUUCGCGUUUUCUCUUUGUUUCUGCUAUGGUGUUUCUCUCUUCUGCGAGUUUCAUUGUGUUCUCGUACCAAUGUAAGUUCAUUUCGAUUCGGUUUAUACAUAUUUUUUGUUUCACUUAUUUGUUUGUUUUCUUGCAUUGGCGAAGGGUUAUUUGACGCUUCAUUUUCUCUUUUGUUUAUGCUCUCGUGCUUCCUCUCGUUUUCUACGAGCCUUCAUUGUCUUCUUUGUGCCAUUGUAAGUUCUUUUCGAGUUCUCUUUCUUCUUCACCAUUGAUUUAUAUAUAUUUUUUCGUUUCUCUUAUCUAUUUGUUUUCUUGUAUUGACGAAGGUCACCAGCUUCAUUGUCUGCUGUUUGGAUUUUUGCUAUGCCAUAUUUGCUCCGUUGUUGCUGUUGCCACCGCUGUUGCUGCCUUAGGGUUUACGGUUUUAAUUUUUUUAAAAAAAUUAAAUAAGAAUGCGAUUAUUUACCAUAGUCGCAUUUAUAAAUCGCAUUUACGAAUGCGACUAAAUAACCGCACUUGUAAAUCUUCGAUUUAAGAAUGCGUGCUGAUCAAGUGCGGCUAUAUAACCGCCCUUGUAAAUGUAAAAUAGCCGCACUCGUUUGACCUGUCUGCACUACUGUUUCUAUUCUAACAAAUGAGUUUUUAAUUUGCAGAUGGUUUGACAUGUCAAAUGGAUAUUAUAUUAUGAAUAUUUUGACAAUGAAUUGAAUAGUACAAUAAUAUAUAUAUAUAUAUAUAUAUAUUUAUUAAAAUGACAUAAACAUUAAUUUAUAGUUAUUAUUCCAUAACCCUACAAUUAAAUAAUAUUAAUCACAAAAAUUGAACAAUGUUGUUUUUUCUUGUUCGUUUUCACAUGCUCAUGCGUUCAUACACUGUUCUUGUUUAGGCUAAUUAAUGUAAAUGAUGAUCUUGUAUACUUUUCCAUACACAUAUUUUUCAAAGUAUUUUCUAAUAAUUUUUAGUCAUUGGCGUGUUAGUAAUACAAUAUUUGGCUAGAAACAAUGUAUUUACUUUUUGACUAAUAGGGAUAUGUUGUUACUAGACAUGAACACGGAUGAAGUAAGAUGAAAGAAUAAUAAUCUCUUAUACUUAUUCAAAAUCCCAAACAUUAAUUUGCAUUAAUAAAUAUCUUCCUCUUUUGUGGUGAAGUACCCAAGUAUAAAUAUUUAUUUUCAGUCAUUUGACCCUUUUAUUAAUAAAAUAAUAUUUUAAAAAUUAAACUAUCAAAAAAAUUAAUUUUCAAAAUAUGGUGAACUGAACAUUUAACAAGCCAACAAUAUUUUGUUUGAUAAAAGAUCCUUACAAAAAUAUUGCAUUAUUUUUACUAUUUAUUUCUUAUUUUUAAUGUAAAAUUGAUAAAAUAACAUAUUAUUGUUUAUAUAACUUUGUUUUACAAUUUUAAAUAAUAAUAAAAAUCACCAUUGUGUAUUUAUAUACUUUUGAAUGAAAAUAUAAAAUAAUUUUUAAAUAUAACACGACACGAAAAAAAAAUUAGCGAAAGUUUUUUACUAAAAAUUAAUAUAAUCUUAAUAUUAAAUAUAAUUAACAGAGACUUUUUUUAAUCUUAAUUAAGUUGUAUAUAAUCUUAAGAAAAUUAUCAAGAUUUAUUUUAAAUUAUAUUUUAUUUUUAAUUUCCAUCUAAUUUUGAUCUCAUUUUUCUGCUCUUUCCCUAUAAAAAUCAGUACCACAGACCUCACCCCUGCUCUUCGUUUCACAUAUUUCAUUUCAAAUGUUGAAAGCAGGUUCUACCUUAUUCCACAUGCACCAGUGCAAAAAUUGUGUUUAACGAUAUUGUGUAUCCAUCAAAAUGCAGUGACACUUUUAUGAUUAUUACAAAGAUAUAGACCCCGAUUAUAAAAGGCUCUUAACUUGUUCUUUCUUUCUUUCUUAACCUCUACAUGGAAGAGCUUUCAUUUAUAGAAGUACUAAAAAAACCAUUGUAAUCUUUGUAUUAUAAAGGAUAAUGUUAGAGUUUUACCAUAAGUUCACGACUUCAUGUUCACAUAUUUUUGGCAGUGUGCUGUCUACCAUUGGUUUUUGGCAGGCUUCUGUUCUCCUGAAACAGUGGAAGAAGUCUGUGUACUGCAGCUUCACCAACUCUUUUGGAGUAGGAUUAUACACAGAAUUUAAUGCUUUGGUGGUUUUGUAUGAGAACCAUUUGUUUGUUAGGCUCUAACCAUAUCUGUGUAGUCGGUGGUCGUCGAUGUUAUGCAACGCUCAACAUGAUCGCCGGUAAUUAAAACGACGAUAGUCAAUAUGAUCAUCGAUCGAGGAAGCGGCGUUCUCCAUAUGUGUGUAGUCGGUGGUCGCCGAAGUUACUUGAAAUGGCGUGCUCCAUAUGUAUGUAGUCGGUGGUUGCCAAAGUUAUACAAGGUCAACAGAAUCACCGCUCGAUGAAACGGCGAUCUCAAUACGUGCGUAGUCGGUGGAUGUCGAAGUGAUGCAAAGGCUAACAUGAUCGCCGGUCGGUGGUCGUCGAAGUUAUGCAAAGAUAAUCGCCGGUCGAGGAAGUGGCGUGCUCUUUAUGGACGUAGUCGGUGGUCGCCGAAGGCAAUGUGCAUGGGUAACUCGUCGCGUGGCGAGGUGAAUGUAGAAGGCAUCGGUUGUGGGCAUCUCGAGUUGUAAGUUGCUUAAGGUAACCUGUUGGCUGUUUUUUGGGUAUGGUUGUCUCACUUUAAGGUUGCUCUACCACAACCAUAAAGGAGAGUCUUUUGUGUGGAUGAUGUAGGAAGUCCACUUCUGGGUUACUGUAUAUGGGUUGGGAUACCCCUGAAGUAUCCCCUUAAUUUUAUUUAUUCAUUGCUUAUAAAAAAAAAAAAGCUCUAACCAACUUGAGGCCUUUUUGUGGUCUUGGUCGAUUUAUGGUAGUAGUGUAGGUUUACCUCAUAGCAUUUACCUGUUCAUGGUAUUUGGUUCUGGUUUUUUUAUAUGGGUUUAGGGGUGUCCCAUUUUAAUUUUAAUUUUUUACUGAUAAAAAAAAGUUCACAUAUUUUAUUGUUGAACUAAAACAGAUGUGUAAGGUGUACUUUUUAUUUUAAUUUUUAUCUCUGUUGUAUAUUUUCUUCAGUUGACAGUAUCAUAUCAAAUAUACUAACUUUGCCAUCAGAUAUCAAAUAUACUAGUUUUUGACAGUAUCAUAUCAUAUAAAAAAAAUCUCCAUGCUGAAUGAUGAAUCACUAAAUAUCACCUGAUAGAACUAGGAAACAAUGUCACUUAAUCUCAAAAAAGCAGUUCUGCACAUACAAAUAAUUAGAUGUAGAUGCAGUCUCAAACUGUGAGAUUCAUCAGACUUGAGAAACAUGACAAAGAUUCAAACCACACAUUACUAUGUAAAGUUCUCUACGUUGUUUACAAACAAGCAGUGAUGCAAAAAUAGCAUAUGGAAGAAAUCAAAAUUCUGCAAGUUGUGAACGAACCCCUUAGACAUGCAAACAUGGGCAGACUUGUACACUUGAAAAUUUGAAGCUCGAAAUGUAAUGUGUUGCAGCUGGGUCAGUCGGGCAUGUAAUGUAUGUGACUUAAUAUCUGAUCCAAUUAUUUCCAUUACAUUGGAUUCAAUGUCUUCAUCCUGAGGUCCUUUAAUACUACCAUUCACAACUAUAAUCAAAGUCCAAAAUAAAUCAGUGACAUGAUACUUACCUUCAACAGGAAGAAGAUUGUUCACAAAAACGACAAAAAUAUUAAGACUAACAGUCAACUACUUGAAACCAUUUAAUUCAUCAAAUAUAUUUCUUGUUACGCUCCAAACCAUUCUGAAUAGGGAACAACUCAAGCUAAAAGAAAAAAAAAGGGAAAUGGACCGAUUUAAUAGUGGGUUGGGGUGUCUUUAUUCAUAAAGUAAGCCACCGAAAUAGACUAAUUCACUCAAGUUGGUAAAAACGACUAUGAAAGCCACAUGGUGCUGUCGGCAAUAAUCAUCAACAGCUACUGCUUCCUGCCCAUCACUCCUUUAUUGAAGCAAAUCCAUCUCCAACAAAAUUCUCACUCCUUCAUUCACGUCACUGAGCUUCACUUCCAAUUUUCACACCCCUUUCUUCUCUUUCAUUUGGCCACUUCCUUUCCAACCAUGCCAGUCCUAGAAACACUUGGCGGUGCUCUUUUUGGCGCUGUUCUCCAGAUGCUAUUUGACAAGCUCGAUUCUAAUCAAAUUCUCGACUACUUUCGUGGGAAAAAGCUCGAUGAGAAGCUGCUGAAAAAUUUGAAGAGGAAGUUGGUGUCCAUCAAUGCUGUGGUUGAUGAUGCAGAACUAAAGCAGUUCAGAAAUGCAUACGUUAAAGCGUGGCUUGACGAGGUCAGAGACGUGUUGCUGGACACAGAGGAUCUGCUGGAUGAAAUAGACUAUGAAUUCUCCAAAACUCAGUCACAACUUCAAUACCAAACCAGUUCUAACAAGGUACGCAUUCUUGAAUCCAAGCUGAAAGAAGUCCUAGAGGACCUUGAAUCUCUUUUAAACCAAAAGGAUGAUCUAGGUCUGAAAAAUGUUGGUGGUGUAAGAUCGGAAUUGGGUAAUAAAGUGUUAGAGAAAAGAAAUGAAUCUUCAUCGCUGGUGGCUGAAGAGGUUAUUUAUGGCAGAGAUGAGGACAAACAAAUUAUCCUUAAUUGGUUGACAUCUGACACUAACAAUCAUAACCAACUGUCAAUACUUUCUAUUGUGGGUAUGGGCGGGAUGGGUAAGACCACACUUGCUCAACAUGUAUACAACGACCCAAUGAUAGAGGCUAUGUUUGCUAUCAAAGCCUGGGUUUGUGUUUCUGAUGAAUUUGAUGUUUUCAUGUUAACCAGAGCAAUUUUUGAGUCAAUCCGUAAGGAAACUGAUAAUAGCAGAAACCUAGAAAUGGUUCAGGGACGAUUGAAAGAAAAAUUGAAUGGAAUGAAGUUUUUUCUGGUUCUGGAUGAUGUUUGGAACGAACACCGAGACCAAUGGAAAUCAUUGCAAACUCCUCUUAAAUAUGGUGCUAAGGGAAGUAAAAUUCUUGUCACAACACGCAUCAACAAAGUUGCUUCUAUCAUGGAGUCAAACAAGAUUCACAACCUAAAGCAAUUACAAAAAGAUCACAGCUGGCAAGUUUUUGCUAAACAUGCAUUUCAAGUUGAUAAUUCUAAUUUUGUGUUGGAGGAGAUUGGCAUGAAGAUAGUUGAAAAGUGCCAAGGACUGCCUCUGGCCCUUGAAACUGUAGGAGGUCUUUUACAAUCAAAGUCAUCUAUUUUAGAGUGGGAAGGCGUAUUGAGAAGCAACAUAUGGGACUUAGCAAUAGAAGAUAGUAAAAUCAUCCCCGCUUUGUUAUUGAGCUAUUACCAUCUUCCUUCUCAUCUCAAGAGAUGUUUCGCUUAUUGUGCGUUAUUCCCCAAAGACCAUAUGUUUGAUAAGGAGAACUUAAUUUUCUCAUGGAUGGCUGAAAAUUUUCUACAAUGCUCUCAGCAGAGUAAGUCUCUAGAAGAAGUAGGUGAACAAUACUUCAAUGAUCUAUUAUCAAGGUCAUUCUUUCAACAGUCAAUUAGGUACAAUCGAAAAUGUUUUGUGAUGCACGACCUUUUGAAUGAUUUAGCAAAAUAUGUUUCAGGUGAAAUCUGCUUCAGGUUGGGUGUUGAUAGAGCAGAAAGAGUACCAAAGACCACUCGUCACUUUUCAAAUAUAAAGAAUCCUUUUGAACGUGAUGAGCUUAGGAUUUUAGGUGAUGCUAAAAGGCUGCGAACAUUUUUGUCCACAUAUAGGAAUUAUGGGAUGUCAAUACAAGAGUUGAUCUCCAACUUUAAGUUCUUACGGGUCUUGUCUUUGUCUUCUCGUAUCAUAGAAGAGGUGCCUGACACAAUAGAUGAUCUUAUACAUCUCCGUUCAUUAGACCUUUCAAGGACACGCAUAACAAGACUUCCCGACUCAAUGUAUUCACUCUGUAACUUGCAAGUGUUGAAGCUAAACGAAUGUCUUCUUUUGAAGGAGUUGCCCUCAACUUUGCAUGAGCUCACCAAGUUGCGUCGCCUUGAACUUAAGGGAACUUAUUUAAGAAAGGCUCCAGUGCUUUUAGGAAAGUUGAAGAAUCUUCAAGUAUGGAUGGGUGGGUUUGAGGUUGGCAAAAAUAGUAGUGAGUUCAGUAUUCAACAACUAGGACAACUUGAUCUUCACAAGAAUCUGUCAAUUAGAAAUCUUGAAAAUAUUGUGGAUCCCUAUGAUGCAUUGGCAGCGAAUUUGAAGAAUAAAAUACAUCUUGUGGAGCUACGUUUAAAAUGGGAUUUGAAGCUGAAAAAUGAGGAUUCAAUAAAAGAAAGAGAAGUACUAGAGAAUCUACAACCUUCCAGACAUUUGGAGAAGUUGACAAUCACAGGCUAUUGUGGUACACAAUUUCCAGGUUGGUUAUCUGAUAAAUUUUUGUUGAAUGUGGUGUCCUUAAGCUUGGAAAACUGCAAAUAUUGUCAAUGGUUGCCUUCCUUGGGACUUUUGACAUUUCUCAAGCAUUUGAAAAUUGAGGGCCUUGAUGAGAUAGUGAGGAUAGGUGCUGAUUUUAACGGGAAUAUCUCUUCUGCAUUUGCAUCCUUGGAAACGUUGAGGUUUACUAAUAUGAAAGAAUGGGAAGAAUGGGAAUGCAUGACGGGUGCUUUUCCAAAGCUUCAUAGUCUUUUUGUAAUUAAGUGUCCCAAACUGAAAGGGCACUUGCCAGAGCACCUUCCUCAUUUAAAGAAUCUAAUAAUUAGUAUGUGCGAACAACUUGUGGCUUCGACUCCUAGAGCAGUAGAAAUAGAAGGUGUGAAGAUGGAGACUUCUUCAUUUGAUAUGCUCCUAUCUCAUACUCCUAUUCAAUCCUUAACUAUUUAUCGUUGUCUGGGCAUGAAUAUUCCUAUAAACCAUUGCUACCAUUUUCUUGUAGAAUUGCGUAUCAUUCAAUGUUGUGACUCUCUCACGUACUUCCCUCUAGACUUAUUUCCAAAACUCUACUACCUUACUUUAUGCAAGUUUCGUAACUUACAGACGAUAACACAAGAGCACCCUAAUCAUUUGAGGAGUGUGAGAAUUGAAAAAUGCUCUGAAUUUGAAACAUUUCCCAAUGAAGGAUUAUUUGCACCUCAGCUAGAGACACUUCAUAUUGAAGGAUUGGAGAAAUUGAAAUCAAUGCCUAAACGCAUGUCUGCCCUCCUUCCAUCUCUUAAUUAUCUUUAUAUAAUUAAUUGUCCAGAAGUGGAGUUGUCUGAGGGAUGUUUGCCAUCAAAUCUAAAACGCCUCUCUCUGUUGAAAUGCUCCAAACUUGUUGCCUCACUAAAGGAGGGGGUUUGGGGAACCAACCCUUCCAUAGAAUCCUUGUCUAUUCAAAAAGAGGAUGGGGACUGUUUUCCGGAUGAAGGUUUGCUCCCAGUCUCCCUUACUGUGCUACAUAUAAGAGAUUGUCCAAAUCUUAAGAAACUAAACUAUGGUGGUCUUUGUCACCUCACCUCUCUUCAGUUUUUACGGUUUCUUAAUUGUCCAAUACUACAAUAUUUGCCAGCAGAGGGUCUACCGGAAUCCAUUUCACAACUCGUCAUUCAAUGCUGUCCUUUGCUCAAACAGCAGUACAAGAAAGAAGAAGGCGAAGAGUGGAAAAAGAUUGCUCGCAUCAAAAAGUGUAUUGAGUAAACAUAUAAAUAAAAAAUUGGAAAUUCCUAAGGCACCGAUUCUCAUAUGCCUACAUUUUGAUCAGGUGUCAAUUCUCCCCACUAUCUUUCAAGCAUUUCAAAUACAAUCUUAUUUAGUACAAAUAUUUGCAUCAACUUCUUGUCUUUUCAAUGUUUUAUUGUCGAUAUUCUGUUUUGAAGUUGAAAUAAUUGUAAGCAUUAUUGAAAUGUAUGUUUUUUAGGAUAUAGAUUGAAAGAUGUGUGAAUGAGGAGUUGUGGUGAUUUAAGAUUUUAAAAGUGGUUUGCACUUUGGAGAUGAUUCUAUAUCCAUCUCUUUAAAUAUAAUGUUAUUUUCAUUUCAUUAUUUUCAUUUCAUUAUUUUCAUUCUCAAAUACUAAUAUCAUUAACAAUAUCACCAUCCUCCGAGUUCUCAACUUUUGUGCCACUAAACCAUGCUUUUUAGGACCUUUAUGGUUAAUUUAUUAAGAAAUAAACAAACACACAUGAAAUACACUAGAUUAAAAAUAUAAAUAAAAAAAUCAAUAAAAAACAGAGGAAAAAUUAAACAAAAUAUAAGACAUAAUUAUUCCCAAAUGAUGUCUUCUCAUCAAUUUAGACCCAACUUCGUGUAAGUAAUAAUAUGACAAAGUUCAGAAGGCGAACACUUAAACUCACUAACAACAACAAAUUCAGUUAGGUAGAGUUUUCUGUAUGACAUGCUUCAGAGGUUGGGAUUCCACGAAAAGUGGAUUAUGUGGGUUAAAGGAUGUUUGACUUCAUCCUCUGUAUUUGUUCUGAUAAAUGGGAGUCCUACGGAGGAAUUCAAGCCAUCUAGGGGGUUAAGACAGGGAGAUCCUCUGACCCCAUUUCUGUUCCUAGUGGUUGUUGAAGGACUAGCAGGGCUUGUGAGGCAAGCGUUGAGUAUGAAGGUGCUCAGGGGUAUAAAGGUAGGAAAAAAUAGUAUUGAGUGUUGCUUGUUACAGUAUGCAGAUGACACAUUUUUCCUGUGCGAAGAUUCUUUCAACAAUAUCUUUGCUAUCAAGGCCAUCCUUCGAUGCUAUGAAAUCGUUUCAGGCUUGAAAGUUAACUUUCAUAAGUCAAAGAUGGUUGGUAUAAGUGUCAACAGCUAUGUCCUGAACACCUCUGCGAAGACGCUCAACUGCCACACCAUGUGACUACCAUUUCAAUACUUGGGGGUGGAAGUUGGCAGAAAUCCAAGGAAGAAACAGUUUUGGGAGCCGGUUGUGAAAAAAAUAGAAGCUAGACUAAGUUCUUGGAAAGGAAGAUUCUUAUCUUUGGCAAGUAGAAUAUGCCUGCUAAAAUCAGUUUUCACUACUAUACCACUUUUCUACCUAUCUGUGUAUAAAGCGCCAGUAGCAGUGUGCAACAGAAUCAAAAGUAUAUAAAGAAGAUUCCUCUGUGCUUGGGGUAGAGAAAACAAAACGAUUUCUUGGGAAGUUGGGACAAUGUUUGUAAGCCUCUUGAAGAAGGUGGGUUGGGGAUCAAAGAGAUCAGGAGUUUUAACUCUACUCUACUGUCAUAAUGGAAAUGGCGGCUUAUGAGUGAUGAGGAAGGGAAAUGGAAAGACAUACUUAAGUCAAAAUAUGAUUCAGAAGCAGGAAGUAGACAGGUUGGGUUGAAAUACCAAUCGUGGUGGUGAAGGGAUUUAGUUAAAGUAUGUGGCGAAGGAGAGGAAGGAUGGUUCCAUAAAGUUGUUGGGUGGAAAAUAGGGGAAGGGGGCAUAGUUAGAUUCUGGGAGGAUGUGUGGUUACAGAACAGUUGUCUUAAAACCUUGUAUCCUAGACUAUACGCUCUGUCGCUAGAUCAAGGUAAGAUGGUGGGAGAGGUAGGAAGAUGGGAGGAUGGUAGGUGGCGGUGGCGGUUUAAUUGGAGAAGGGAUAGAUAUGGCUGGGAGUUGAAUAUGGAGGAAGAGUUAUCCUCAAGAUUGACAACGGGAAUCAUAUGCCAGGAUGUUCAAGAUCAUCUCGUCUGGAAAGGAUAUCCAAAAGGCGUGUUCUCGGUGAAAUCAGUACACUCCAUUCUGGCCCAUCAUCAAACCAAUGGCACAGUGGAUAGUGCUUUUGGUAUUUUAUGGCAGUCGAAAGCCAUGCCCAAAGUACUUAUCACUGUUUGGAGAGUUCUUUUUGACAGACUUCCAACCAACGACAAUCUCAUAAGAAGAGGAAUAACUAUGAAUUCGCCUUUAUGUGCUUUGUGCAGCCUGUCAGACGAAUCAUCUCAACACCUCUUCCUUGCGUAUACGCGCAACGAGUAUGGUCUCGCUGCUAUCGCUGGAUUGGCAUUUUGGGGGUCCACAACAACGACAUCAGGAAUCACUUAGUAAACUUUACUUAAUCCACCUAUCUAGUACGCAAAAUCAGGUGUGGAGAGGAUUAUGGGCAACAAUUGUUAGAUGCAUUUGGGAGCAGCGAAACCAGGUAGUCUUCAAAGGAGGGGUCCCCGACUCUGAUGAAGUUUUCCAAAAUGCUCAGUUACUGUCUUGGCUGUGGUUAAAACACAAGGCAGUUGGAUUCUCAUACGCUUUUUCAGACUGACUCUUGAAUCCCAACCAGUGCCUCCUUGCUGUUAACUGAAAGUUUUAUUCUUCAUGAUGUUAAGCUGCCAUGCUGUUUUGUGUUACUGGUUUUAUCUGGCCUGUUGGUACAGGUAGGAGUCCUGGGAGACGCACCGAAUGGAAGUGGUAACUGCUGUAACAUAGAUCCUAUGUUGGAGUUGUGUUAUAUGUCACAAAGUUCAACGGAGUAGGCCAGAGGAGAUGCAAGGCUAUGGUUCAGAUAGGAGAGGUGCUAUAGGGCUGCUGCAGGAUUGCUGUCUAGGGGGUGCCUAUAGCACACAAUGGAGUGUAAGCCACGGUGGGAGCCAAUUGGCAGAAACGAGCAUGAAAAGUGGUAUAACUGCACACACAAAUGCUACCAAUCACAAGUAUCUCAACCUGUUGUUUUGGCUACAGAGGGUAUAUUCAACACUGUUUGAACAACCCUUCCUCUUGGAGCACCUGUCAUUCCACUCUCUCUGCUGGAAGCCUAUAUGACAAUAGAAGGGUCACGGUGUAGGUAGGUUUCGGAUGACUAUGGAUGGAGAAGUUGUGGCAGCUGGUUUAUGCAGGUUGAAUAAUAGUUAUCAAAAACAAGUGAGAGGAUGGCAAUGCCAGAUUCUGGCAGCAAAGGACUAUAUUUCUAUUGAGUGAAAAUAGAAGUCAUAAUGUGGCUUACCAAGAGUUGUAAUGAAUGACUGGGAUCAAGGCACCUAUCAAUGUAGUGUAAUUCACAAGAACGCUCUUAAGCUACUGUGCGUGUUGUUAAUAGCUGCCAAAGGAAGCUGCUUUUGGUGGAAACAGGUUGGAAUAUGUCUGGCCCAAAGCAAUUCUAAGCGAGGCAAUUCCCAAUGGUGGUAUGAAAGGAGAAUUUGGCCACUGGUUUUAUGCAGAUGGCACUUCUUGUUAGGCAUCACUGGUGGUAAACUAUUGUUAGAUGCUAAUAGGAUUAUGCUUAAUUGUUAGCUUCUCUGGUUUAGUGUAUGUUGGAAGCUAGUGUUGGGCUUGUUUGGUCUGGUUUUGAUGCAGGAGUACCUCUGUAGCAUGCUCAUGCUAUUAUUUAUGGUUUGUAUACUGUUGGGAUACCCCUUAAUAGGUCUUUUUUCAAUUUCAAUUAAUUAUUGGCUGAUAAAAAAAAAACAACAAAUUCAGAUUACAAGAUAUCAAGAACCAAUUUCUUGCAUCCUAUAAGAACUGGUUCAUAGCAAAUCUGUAAAACCCUCUUACAGAACAUACACUAAACACCCUAUUCAGCAUAAACACUUGGAAUCUACCUAAAAUCUAAAAUACAGGAAGAAUAUAUAACCCAAAUGAUUACACCUAAAUUGAAAUCAAAUUAGAUGAACACUUCUUAAUUAACUCAAAAUGUUCUCCAAGAUUGCCUCAGAAAGUUAUGAGAACUUGAUAUUCAAACUUAUAGAAUUAUAACUAUUUUUAUCUAAACAUUUUUUAUCAGCAAUGAAUGAAUUAAAUUAAGAGGGAUACUUUAGGGGUAUCCCAACCCGUUUACAAACCACAAACUGAUUAUACCGCUGAGCAGCCAUAAAGAGGCUAUACCUGCAGCGAUAGAUACAAGAUAAACCCUGCAGAAAAGAAACAUAGCAGCAGGAUUGAGCUCACAAACCCACUAGACCCAUCCUCCAUGCAAUCAUGAGAAGGGUGCUCUUAGCUUAUGAUCUAACCUUUAAAAAAAAGAUCCUAAGAAUACCUCAUUAGCAGUAAAGAAAACAGCAAGUACCCCGAAAAUUUAAAAUCACAACUGCAGCAAAAACAGCAAACACCAAAGUGCUUGUAUAAAUUCCCAUCUGCAGCAGACUCCAAAAAGUGAUGUUUUCUUUUGCACUCCAACCCACCUCACCCAUUUCUACCCCUGCAUGUUCUUCCAAGACCACCCCUUCCCUCUAUAAGAACCAAAAACCAUCGUCCAAAACCAGCACCUACAUACACCUACUGUUGUCCUUCCGUACUCCACCCUUCCAUAUCUUCCUCUGUUGUAGCCUUUUCCAACUUACCCAUGCCAAGUAAAACCAAAAACCCGUAGAUGUAUGUACACGAUGUGCAGCCUCCAAGCUCCAGCAAGCCUGUCCUGCACCACUAACCCAGUUCCAGCAUUCUCACACCUAUACCAGUGAUGUUUACGCCAGCUCACAUGUGGGUGAGAAUAGAUUGAGUGAAGGAUAGUGCACUUCUCAAAGCAGUGCAUACUCUCAAAGCCUAUUACAGCACCAGAGCUAUCUCAACUUCUCCCAAGAUCCCUAUCACAACGCAUCCCUUUCCAAGCAUUUCAGCUUGCUUGAAUUGUCCUUGGGUCAUCAUAGGCACCCCUACCCAUCCUCUGCUCCCAUCCUGGAAAAAUUACUUGAAACUCGUAAUGCAUAUAAGUGGAUUAAGGACCCAAUCAACGAACGAAUAGUUAAAGGAAGGCGUUUUAUGCUUCAGCCAUAGCCAAGACUUGAGUUGAGCCUUUUGGAAGACUUCCUCCACGUCUACUACCCCAUGCUGGAAAACAAUCAUAUUUCUUUGAUCCCAUAUGCUCCUAACAACAUUUGCCCAAACACCUUUCCAAAGCAGAUUUUGUUUGCUACUAGCUUGGGAUAAGAAAAAGCUUUGAAAAUGCACCUUUAAAUCAUUAUGCUGGACAGAUAAGAUACCUAUCCAAUUAAAGCACAAAGACCAUACCCGUUGAGCGUGUUUGCAUUCCAAGAAGAGGUGUUGACAUGACUCCUCCUCCAGCUGGCAUAAAGGACACGACGUAGAGAUCAUCAACACCCCUUUCCUGCUCAAGCCCACUCUUGUAGGUAUUCUUCCCACAAGUACCCUCCAAGCUGUCGUGACUACGCUUGGAAAUGCCUUUACCUUCCACAAGAGUUUAAACACUUCGGAUUGAGGGUCUCUAACUUGCUUAGCUAGGCAUUCGUAUGCAGAUUUCACAGAGAACAACCGUGAUUUCUCCUUCCCCCACGUGUGAUUGUCCUUGAUGUUCUUCUUCAAAAUGACCCUGGAUAAGAUCAUGCUAAGGUCUGCUUCCAUUGGAGUCUCCCACUCCAAUCGAGCACGCCUCCACUUCAAACUUCCACCGCCACUCCGAGUUUAUCCAUUUACAAACCUCUCCCACUGCCUGACCCUGAAUUAAGGACAGGGAAAUAAAGUCUGGGGAACAUGGAUUUUCGAUUCGCACUUUCAACCCAUACCCCCCCCCAAAAUUUAAUUUUAUGAACCCUUCCUAUUUUCCCCUCCCAACUCUCUCUUUAAACCACGCCUUUACCNNNNNNNNNNNNNNNNNNNNNNNNNNNNNNNNNNNNNNNNNNNNNNNNNNNNNNNNNNNNNNNNNNNNNNNNNNNNNNNNNNNNNNNNNNNNNNNNNNNNACCUUCUAACUCCAAGUUGUACUUUGAAUCUAGCAGCUCCUUCCACCUUCCAUUCUCAUCAGCCAGACUGCGCCAUCUCCAUUUAGCUAGAAGAGCAUAAUUGAGCAUACGUAUAUCCCGACAACCCAAACCUCCCUCCGCUUUAGAUUUGCAUACAUCUUUCCAGCUAACCCAGAAGAUUGGCUUAUUGGCUUUCCCCCAUCCCCACAGAAAUCUCCUUUGUAUGCUCAUAAUCCUCUUACAAACCGCCAGCGGUGCUUUGAAAAGGGAUAAGUAAUACAAAGGUACACCCGUUAAAACAGAGUUANNNNNNNNNNNNNNNNNNNNNNNNNNNNNNNNNNNNNNNNNNNNNNNNNNNNNNNNNNNNNNNNNNNNNNNNNNNNNNNNNNNNNNNNNNNNNNNNNNNNACAAAUUCUUCCUGCCAUUGAAAGGAAUCUUCCUUUCCAUACGCUAAGUCUUCCUUUUAACUUAUUAAUGACCGGUUCCCAGAACUGCUUCGUCAUUGGGUUUCCUCCCACUUCCAGGCCAAGAUAUUUGAACGGAAUCCCCAUCUGCGAGCAAUUUAGAGUCUUAGUGUAGCAUGAUACUGCACUACGUUGCACGUUUAUACCUGCUAGCCUGGACUUAUGGAAGUUAAUCUUUAAGCCUGAGGCUAGCUCAAAACCCCUCAAAAUGGCUUUCAAAGUUAACACGUUGCUGUAGGAGUCUUCACACAGAAAUAAGGUGUCAUCCGCAAAUUGGAGAAUACAUAUCUCUAACUCCUUGCUUCCAAUCUUGAGACCCGAUAGCAAAUUGACCUUCAAAGCCUGUCUGACAAUUCCAGCAAGACCUUCUGCUGCCACCAAGAAAAGGAAGGGGGCUAAAGGAUCACCCUGUCUCAACCCUCUUGAUGGCUUGAACUCCUCCGUAGGGCUCCCAUUGACCAGCACAGAAAUUGAAGCGGACUCCAUACAACCUCGAAUCCAAGUGAUCCAUAAGUUAUGAAACCCCAUCCUGUGCAGCAUAUCAUAUAAAAAUUCCCAUCUAACCGAGUCAUAUGCCUUCUCGAAGUCCACCUUUAAGCAAAGCCCACUUCUUCCCUUUUUUCUUAGCUCCUCCACCACUUCAUUAGCCAUAAGCACGCUGUCUAGAAUCCCUCUAUUCUUUAGGAAGGCUGAUUGGCUUUCAUCUACGAUUGCAGGCAACACCUUCUUCAACCUGCUAGCCAAAACCUUAGAUAUGAUUUUGUAUAGGGCUCCUACUAGUGAGAUGGGUCUAUACUGCUCAAGCUUAGAUGGGUCCCUGACCUUGGGGAUUAGACAAAUGAACGAAGCGUUACAACCCUUCGGAAUGGUUCCAGUCCUAUGAAACAAAGCCAUUGCUGCAAAUAUGUCAUGUUUUAUAAAUUCCCAGCUUUUCCUGAUAAAAUUGAAGUUAAAGCCAUCUGGACCGGGACUCUUCGAACCUUCACACUGCCACACUGCGUCCCUUAUCUCUUCCUCCGUGAACACUGCUACAAGUCUCUCGUUAUCCGUUGGGUUAAGAGAUUUAAACUCGACUUCAUCCAACCUUACACCAAGAUCUUUCGUGGCACUGAAUCUAGCUUCAAACAACUUUUUUGCCUCCAUGCGAACGGUACUAGGUUCCUCACACCAUUGGUCCCCAACCUGGACGCCCUUCACUUCAUUCCUGAGCCUUCUCCACCUCAAAGAUGAGUGAAAGAACCUAGUAUAGGAGUCCCCAUUUUUAAACCAGCUUGCUCUAGCCUUUUGACAAAAAAGGCUUUCAAUUUUCUUUUCAGUCUCAACCAGACGGCUUGUCAAUUCCAUUUUUUCCAACCUCUCACCUUCCCCUAAGCCCCCAUUGCAGUCUUGGCAAUCUAAAGCCUCCAGAUCCUGAAGGAUCCUCCUCUUAGUAGUAUCAAGGUUACCAAACACAUCUCUGUUCCAUACUUUCAGAUCUGUUUUGAGCAUUUUCAAUUUUUCUUUAAAAACCGUUAUACCAUUCCCCUGUAUCGAGUAUGAUUGCCAUUUAUCCUUCACCAUCUUGUUAAAGCCCCUUUCCAAAAGCCAAGCGUCAAUGAAUCUGAAGGGCUUAGGUCCCCAGUCCUUUUCUACAGACUUAACCACCAAUGCACAAUGGUCGGAUACCUCCCUCCGUAAAACAUACUGUUUACUCGUGGGCCAUAGUUUAAGCCACUCUUCAGAAACCAGCACUCUAUCAAUUCUGCUCUUAGCCGUUCCAUCCGGUUUGAACCACGUAAAACUCUUGCCUACUUUAUCUAAACAUAGUUCUUUCUCUCAAUUUUUCACAAAACUUCAUUCGACUUCAAAAUACUUUCAAAGAGAGACUUAUAUAGACAACAGGUCGGUGGAUCUUUUCUCCUUGUAUGUUGCUCUUUUUACCCAUUCUUACAAUUUAAAGACUUCCAACUUACACUCUAAUAGAAAUUAGUUAGUUUUCGUUCUUGUACGUAUAUUAUUAUGCAAAAUACCCAAAAGGUUAAUAUAUUAUGUUGUCCUUUCAUAACAUGAAACUAAACUAAGGUUAUACCAUGUUAUAACUUAUAAGUCAUCUUUUAAAGGGGGAAAUGCUAUAUUAUCUCUUUGGCAUUUUUUUCCUGUGUAAGGCAAAUACUUAACAUUUGGUGUUUUGCUAAAUGGCUUGCCAUGUUCAAAUCCUUUCUAUCUUAACAGAUGAUGAGAAAAGAAAACAACUUGAUUGUAAACUAAGAUUAACCAUUAUCAAUGGAAUAGCAAGAGAUCUUCUAUACCUUCAUGAGGACUCUCGACUCAAAGUAAUUCAUAGAGAUCUCAAAGCUAGCAAUGUUCUAUUAGACCAUGACAUGAAUCCCAAAAUAUCAGAUUUUAGAUUGGCAAAAAAGCAUUUGAAAUUGGACAGAACCAAGCAAAUACAAAACGAGUAACGGGCACUUAGUGAGUUUUACUUAUACCAAACAUAUCUUAUCAGUAGGACUUGUGAAUGCAUACUUCAGAGUUUAAUGAUUGAAAAAAUGAAAUUCCUUGUUAUAUACUUGAACAAGAAAAAUUAACAAAGCUCUAUUGUUUUGAAUUAAUGGAUACAUGGCUCCUGAGUACGCUAUGCAAGGAUUAUUUUAAGUGAAAUCUGAUGUUUUCAGCUUCGGAGUUCUAGUUCUAGAAACCAUUUGUGGAAGAAAGAACAACGGAUUCUAUCUGUCAGAACAUGGUCAAACUCUUCUUUUAUAUGUGAGUCAUCCCUCUGGUCUGAUUAACCAAAUAUCAACAAUACUAGCUAACUGAAGUAUGACAGUAUUAUUCACAAAUUAAUGACAAAUACUUGUAGGCUUGGAGAACAUGGUGUGAAGGAAAAUGUUUGGAAUUGAUGGAUCCAAUGCUGGAAAAAUCCUUCAAAGGCAGUGAAGUUGAGAAGUGCAUACACAUUGCUUUGUUGUGCGUUCAAGAAAAUGCAACAUACAGACCAACCAUGUCAGAUGUUGUUGUUAUGCUAGGGAGUGACAACAUGACGCUUCCAAAACCCAAGCACCCAGCAUUUUCAGUUGGAAGAAAGGUGUCAGAGGAAGUACAAAUAGACUACGAAUUCUCCAAAACUGAGUUGAAAGCUGAAAUUCAGAGCAGUGCUAGCAAGGUAAGCAGUUUUGCAGAAAUAUAAAUGGAAGUAUCACACGGAUCGUUGUUAUCAAUGAUUGAGAUUUAUUCAUGUGGUUUAGUUAUUUAGACAUAAAACACUACUACAAUAACAUCAAUAAUCAAUAAGAUCAAUAAAUUUUUGAUUUCCUAGCUCAAAGAAAUGAUCCUUAAGUGACUAAAUUUGACCAAACUGGUUUCGAAUCUGUGUUUGGCAGCUGAGCAAAGCCUUAUCCUGGAAGAAAGUUAAGAGAAGAAGAUUCAAACUCUAAAAGUAGAAGAAACCAACAACAGAAGCCAAUGCCCAUUAGUAUAGGCUUUGAUAGCAUGCUCUCGGACAAGCUGCAGUUUUAAGCAGUGAUCGUGGCUUUUCUUUUGGAGCCAAUGAUUCACCGAGCUUAACCUCCUGCACUAAAGCUGUAAGAAAAUCUGCACAAAGAAAUACAAAAUGCAGCAGAAAUUGAUGUAAGAAUAACUCUUAGUUUAAUUCUUUCUUGUUUCUUUUUGUACGAGUGAUUGCAGCUUGGUUUUAAGCUGGGAAGAGCCUUAAGAAAGUAGG